UGGGGAAUAUUGCACAAUGGGCGCAAGCCUGAUGCAGCCAUGCCGCGUGUGUGAAGAAGGCCUUCGGGUUGUAAAGCACUUUCAGCGAGGAGGAAGGUGGUGGACUUAAUACGUUCAUCAAUUGACGUUACUCGCAGAAGAAGCACCGGCUAACUCCGUGCCAGCAGCCGCGGUAAUACGGAGGGUGCAAGCGUUAAUCGGAAUUACUGGGCGUAAAGCGCACGCAGGCGGUUUGUUAAGUCAGAUGUGAAAUCCCCGGGCUCAACCUGGGAACUGCAUUUGAAACUGGCAAGCUAGAGUCUCGUAGAGGGGGGUAGAAUUCCAGGUGUAGCGGUGAAAUGCGUAGAGAUCUGGAGGAAUACCGGUGGCGAAGGCGGCCCCCUGGACGAAGGACUGACGCUCAGGUGCGAAAGGCGUGGGGCAGCAAACAGGAUUAGAUACCCUGGCAGUCCACGCUGUAAACGAUGUCGAUUUUGGAGGUUGUGCCCUUGAGGCGUGGCUUCCGGAGCUAACGCGUUAAAUCGACCGCCU
rnacentral:rRNA from 1 species